rnacentral:rRNA from 1 species
AGAUUAAGUUAUUAAGGGCGCACGGUGGAUGCCUUGGCACUAGAAGCCGAUGAAGGACGUUACUAACGACGAUAUGCUUUGGGGAGCUGUAAGUAAGCUUUGAUCCAGAGAUUUCCGAAUGGGGAAACCCAGCAUGAGUUAUGUCAUGUUAUCGAUAUGUGAAUACAUAGCAUAUCAGAAGGCACACCCGGAGAACUGAAACAUCUUAGUACCCGGAGGAAGAGAAAGAAAAUUCGAUUCCCUUAGUAGCGGCGAGCGAAACGGGAAGAGCCCAAACCAACAAGCUUGCUUGUUGGGGUUGUAGGACACUCUAUACGGAGUUACAAAGGACGACAUUAGACGAAUCAUCUGGAAAGAUGAAUCAAAGAAGGUAAUAAUCCUGUAGUCGAAAAUGUUGUCUCUCUUGAGUGGAUCCUGAGUACGACGGAGCACGUGAAAUUCCGUCGGAAUCUGGGAGGACCAUCUCCUAAGGCUAAAUACUCUCUAGUGACCGAUAGUGAACCAGUACCGUGAGGGAAAGGUGAAAAGCACCCCGGAAGGGGAGUGAAAUAGAACCUGAAACCGUGUGCUUACAAGUAGUCAGAGCCCGUUAAUGGGUGAUGGCGUGCCUUUUGUAGAAUGAACCGGCGAGUUACGAUUUGAUGCAAGGUUAAGCAGUAAAUGUGGAGCCGUAGCGAAAGCGAGUCUGAAUAGGGCGUUUAGUAUUUGGUCGUAGACCCGAAACCAGGUGAUCUACCCUUGGUCAGGUUGAAGUUCAGGUAACACUGAAUGGAGGACCGAACCGACUUACGUUGAAAAGUGAGCGGAUGAACUGAGGGUAGCGGAGAAAUUCCAAUCGAACCUGGAGAUAGCUGGUUCUCUCCGAAAUAGCUUUAGGGCUAGCCUCAAGUGAUGAUUAUUGGAGGUAGAGCACUGUUUGGACGAGGGGCCCCUCUCGGGUUACCGAAUUCAGACAAACUCCGAAUGCCAAUUAAUUUAACUUGGGAGUCAGAACAUGGGUGAUAAGGUCCGUGUUCGAAAGGGAAACAGCCCAGACCACCAGCUAAGGUCCCAAAAUAUAUGUUAAGUGGAAAAGGAUGUGGCGUUGCCCAGACAACUAGGAUGUUGGCUUAGAAGCAGCCAUCAUUUAAAGAGUGCGUAAUAGCUCACUAGUCGAGUGACACUGCGCCGAAAAUGUACCGGGGCUAAACAUAUUACCGAAGCUGUGGAUUGUCCUUUGGACAAUGGUAGGAGAGCGUUCUAAGGGCGUUGAAGCAUGAUCGUAAGGACAUGUGGAGCGCUUAGAAGUGAGAAUGCCGGUGUGAGUAGCGAAAGACGGGUGAGAAUCCCGUCCACCGAUUGACUAAGGUUUCCAGAGGAAGGCUCGUCCGCUCUGGGUUAGUCGGGUCCUAAGCUGAGGCCGACAGGCGUAGGCGAUGGAUAACAGGUUGAUAUUCCUGUACCACCUAUAAUCGUUUUAAUCGAUGGGGGGACGCAGUAGGAUAGGCGAAGCGUGCGAUUGGAUUGCACGUCUAAGCAGUAAGGCUGAGUAUUAGGCAAAUCCGGUACUCGUUAAGGCUGAGCUGUGAUGGGGAGAAGACAUUGUGUCUUCGAGUCGUUGAUUUCACACUGCCGAGAAAAGCCUCUAGAUAGAAAAUAGGUGCCCGUACCGCAAACCGACACAGGUAGUCAAGAUGAGAAUUCUAAGGUGAGCGAGCGAACUCUCGUUAAGGAACUCGGCAAAAUGACCCCGUAACUUCGGGAGAAGGGGUGCUCUUUAGGGUUAACGCCCAGAAGAGCCGCAGUGAAUAGGCCCAAGCGACUGUUUAUCAAAAACACAGGUCUCUGCUAAACCGUAAGGUGAUGUAUAGGGGCUGACGCCUGCCCGGUGCUGGAAGGUUAAGAGGAGUGGUUAGCUUCUGCGAAGCUACGAAUCGAAGCCCCAGUAAACGGCGGCCGUAACUAUAACGGUCCUAAGGUAGCGAAAUUCCUUGUCGGGUAAGUUCCGACCCGCACGAAAGGCGUAACGAUUUGGGCACUGUCUCAACGAGAGACUCGGUGAAAUCAUAGUACCUGUGAAGAUGCAGGUUACCCGCGACAGGACGGAAAGACCCCGUGGAGCUUUACUGUAGCCUGAUAUUGAAAUUCGGCACAGCUUGUACAGGAUAGGUAGGAGCCUUUGAAACGUGAGCGCUAGCUUACGUGGAGGCGCUGGUGGGAUACUACCCUAGCUGUGUUGGCUUUCUAACCCGCACCACUUAUCGUGGUGGGAGACAGUGUCAGGCGGGCAGUUUGACUGGGGCGGUCGCCUCCUAAAAGGUAACGGAGGCGCUCAAAGGUUUCCUCAGAAUGGUUGGAAAUCAUUCAUAGAGUGUAAAGGCAUAAGGGAGCUUGACUGCGAGACCUACAAGUCGAGCAGGGUCGAAAGACGGACUUAGUGAUCCGGUGGUUCCGCAUGGAAGGGCCAUCGCUCAACGGAUAAAAGCUACCCCGGGGAUAACAGGCUUAUCUCCCCCAAGAGUUCACAUCGACGGGGAGGUUUGGCACCUCGAUGUCGGCUCAUCGCAUCCUGGGGCUGUAGUCGGUCCCAAGGGUUGGGCUGUUCGCCCAUUAAAGCGGUACGCGAGCUGGGUUCAGAACGUCGUGAGACAGUUCGGUCCCUAUCCGUCGUGGGCGUAGGAAAUUUGAGAGGAGCUGUCCUUAGUACGAGAGGACCGGGAUGGACAUACCUCUGGUGUACCAGUUGUCGUGCCAACGGCAUAGCUGGGUAGCUAUGUGUGGACGGGAUAAGUGCUGAAAGCAUCUAAGCAUGAAGCCCCCCUCAAGAUGAGAUUUCCCAACUUCGGUUAUAAGAUCCCUCAAAGAUGAUGAGGUUAAUAGGUUCGAGGUGGAAGCAUGGUGACAUGUGGAGCUGACGAAUACUAAUCGAUCGAAGACUUAAUCAAAUU